GAUGAACGCUGGCGGCGUGCCUAAUACAUGCAAGUCGAGCGAACAGAUAAGGAGCUUGCUCCUUUGACGUUAGCGGCGGACGGGUGAGUAACACGUGGGUAACCUACCUAUAAGACUGGGAUAACUCCGGGAAACCGGGGCUAAUGCCGGAUAACAUUUAGAACCGCAUGGUUCUAAAGUGAAAGAUGGUUUUGCUAUCACUUAUAGAUGGAUCCGCGCCGUAUUAGCUAGUUGGUAAGGUAACGGCUUACCAAGGCAACGAUACGUAGCCGACCUGAGAGGGUGAUCGGCCACACUGGAACUGAGACACGGUCCAGACUCCUACGGGAGGCAGCAGUAGGGAAUCUUCCGCAAUGGGCGAAAGCCUGACGGAGCAACGCCGCGUGAGUGAUGAAGGUCUUCGGAUCGUAAAACUCUGUUAUUAGGGAAGAACAAAUGUGUAAGUAACUGUGCACGUCUUGACGGUACCUAAUCAGAAAGCCACGGCUAACUACGUG
rnacentral:rRNA from 1 species